rnacentral:rRNA from 1 species
GAUGAACGCUAGCUACAGGCUUAACACAUGCAAGUCGAGGGGAAACGACAUUGAAGCUUGCUUCGAUGGUCGUCGACCGGCGCACGGGUGAGUAACGCGUAUCCAACCUGCCUCUGACCAAGGGAUAACCCGUCGAAAGUCGGCCUAAUACCUUAUGCAGUCGUCGGAAGUCAUCUGAUGACGACGAAAGAUUUCAUCGGUGAGAGAUGGGGAUGCGUCUGAUUAGCUUGUUGGCGGGGUAACGGCCCACCAAGGCAACGAUCAGUAGGGGUUCUGAGAGGAAGGUCCCCCACGUUAGAACUGAGACACGGUCCAAACUCCUACGGGAGGCAGCAGUGAGGAAUAUUGGUCAAUGGGCGAGAGCCUGAACCAGCCAAGUAGCGUGCAGGAUGACGGCCCUAUGGGUUGUAAACUGCUUUUAGGCGGGGAUAAAGUGAGGGACGUGUCCUUCAUUGCAGGUACCGCAUGAAUAAGGACCGGCUAAUUCCGUG